GACAGAGGUGCCAAGCGUUAGGCGGAAUCACUGGGCGUAAAGCGCACGCAGGUGGUCGGGUAAGUCGGAUGUGAAAGCCCUGGGCUUAACCUGGGAACUGCAUUCGAUACUGUCCGGCUAGAGUAUGGGAGAGGGAAGCGGAAUUUCCGGUGUAGCGGUGAAAUGCGUAGAUAUCGGAAGGAACACCAAUGGCGAAGGCAGCUUCCUGGCCCAAUACUGACGCUCAGGUGCGAAGCGUGGGAUCAAACAGG
rnacentral:rRNA from 1 species